rnacentral:tRNA from 1 species
GCCCGGGUGGCGGAACGGUAUACGCAGAAGACUUAAAACCUUCCGGCCGAGAGGCCAUGUGGGUUCGAAUCCCACCCCGGGCACCA